rnacentral:RNase_P_RNA from 1 species
CUUAACGUUCGGGUAAUCGCUGCAGAUUUUACAUCUGUAGAGGAAAGUCCAUGCUCGCACGGUGCUGAGAUGCCCGUAGUGUUCGUGCCUAGCGAAGUCAUAAGCUAGGGCAGCCUUGCAGAAGGCUGACGGCAGGAAAAAAGCCUACGUCCUUUAUGGAUAUGGCUGAGUAUCCUUGAAAGUGCCACAGUGACGAAGUCUCACUAGAAAUGGUGAGAGUGGAACGCGGUAAACCCCUCGAGCGAGAAACCCAAAUUUUGGUAGGGGAACCUUCUGGACGGAAAUGAACGGAAGGAAGGACAGAGUUGGCUCUGUAGAUAGAUGAUUACCACCCGAGUACGAGGCUUAGCAGCCGACGGCAGUACGACGGAACAAAACAUGGCUUACAGAACGUUACACACU